rnacentral:rRNA from 1 species
GAUGAACGCUGGCGGCGUGCCUAAUACAUGCAAGUCGAGCGAACAGACGAGGAGCUUGCUCCUCUGACGUUAGCGGCGGACGGGUGAGUAACACGUGGAUAACCUACCUAUAAGACUGGGAUAACUUCGGGAAACCGGAGCUAAUACCGGAUAACAUGUUGAACCGCAUGGUUCAACAGUGAAAGACGGUCUUGCUGUCACUUAUAGAUGGAUCCGCGCCGCAUUAGCUAGUUGGUAAGGUAACGGCUUACCAAGGCAACGAUGCGUAGCCGACCUGAGAGGGUGAUCGGCCACACUGGAACUGAGACACGGUCCAGACUCCUACGGGAGGCAGCAGUAGGGAAUCUUCGGCAAUGGGCGAAAGCCUGACGGAGCCACGCCGCGUGAGUGAAGAAGGUCUUCGGAUUGUAAAACUCUUUUAUUAGGGAAGAACAAAUGUGUAAGUAACUAUGCACGUCCUGACGGUACCUAAUCAGAAAGCCACGGCUAACUACGUG